UACAGAUCGUGUGAAUCAUCGAAUCUUUGAACGCACCUUGCACUUUAAGAGUCGAUCUUAAAGUAUACCUGUUUGAGUAUCAUAAACAUUUAUCCAAGUUAUUGGGAUUUGUAUGGGUACAAUUAGCGGCGACGCUGAUUGUCUGUUUAAAUGUAGUAGAGAGUCUGGGAUAAGCGCGCUUAUUUCUUGAAUGAGGAUAUUUACUCUUGUAGUAAAGCGCAAUCAGGAGAGGAUGAGUAGCGGAUCUUUGGGCAUUCUUUAACAUCACGUCAAAGCAGAUUCAGUAAUGAGUCUGGGCACAAAUGUGAUCUCAAAUCAGGCAAGACUACCCGCCGAACUUAAGCAUAUCAAUAAGCGGAGG
rnacentral:rRNA from 1 species